ensembl:lncRNA
UUUUCAUGGCUUUUAUAUUUAUAUAUCUGUGCAUGGCUUUGGAAUCUACACAUGUAUAUAUUUAUCCAUUCAAGUUUCUCUUUUAAAAAUCUGUAAGAAUUAUAUUUUUGAGUCAUUGAGCCAUGAGGAAAUUGUUUUUCAAAAAAAGAUUGCUGUAAGUGAUCAUUAUGUAGGCCAUCAAAAUGGAGACUAAUGGGGGAAUGCAUGUUCGAGGAAAAAAAGAACCGGAGAGGAGCUUGAUGUUAACACGGGGCCAGUAGUAGAGUGUGGAGCGUUAUAGCCUGGACAUUUAAAAAUGUAUUAGCACUUGCCUGCCUUGUUUCAGGGUUGGAUGGCACAGACAAGGCUGUCUUGGGGUGGGGCUAGAUAUUUUUUUGAUUAAUGCUACAACUUGUAGACUUGUCAUCAGGAGAGGCUUAUCAGCAGCUUUUCACAAUCUGACAUUCCACUCGGAAUGCCCCGAUGGAGGAAAGUUAGCACUCUGAAUGCUUUUACAGUUGAAUUCCACACACAUGAAUUAUGACAAGUGAGGCGACUACUCUGUGGUUUGUUGUGUCUGGUCUGGUUCCUACUUUUAAAGUUGCAGUUGCGUUGGGUCAUUUGAAGCUUAUUUUCACAGUCUGGCCAAGCCAGCAGGGUCCCGGGGCUCGGUAGGGGACAUAAACCGCCAGCCUUUAAGUUAGCGUGCUCAGUAGAUAAGCAUUUCAAGACUUCAUUGCAUCAUACAAAAGGACUUAUGGGCUUAUUUAACAUACACUAUUUGACUUCAUUUAGAUAUUUAAUGGAAAGAAAAGCCUUUUAUUAUCACCGAAGGAAAGAGCUGCCAAACGUCGUGAGGCUCUGUUGAAGUAUUACAACGGAUGUAUAGAGCGCAAAUAUAUUUCACUGCCUUACAUAAUGGAGUGUUUAAUAAUAGUUGUUUCUUUAAAUUUAGCACAUGUAUCUUAGAUAUUUGCACUUGGCAAAUUAUAUGCUGUGGUGUAAGAAACUCCAUUUUGUGUGUGUGUUUUCAAAACCAGUUUUAAUGAAGUAUGGACUGAUUUUUACAAAUGACCGUCAGCUGUGAUUUAUAUGUAUUUCACGAGCCCAGACUGGGGCGUCCGUACCGGGAAUGAACACUUUGCCUCCUGUCUUUGCACAGAUGGAAAUGUGAGCAGUAGCCGGCUACGCUGACCUGCUUGGCCAUGGCUUUUGCAAGUGUUUCGUUUGCAGGGCAUUGGCAUUUGGAUGUGGGUCGGGGGUCUGGGUGGAGUGGGGAGAGCCCAUUACACUGUGGCAAACCCCGAGGUUUGCCUGUGUGUCUGUGUCAUCCACAGGAACUGCGUCUGCUCAGAUUGCCAGGUCCCAGGAUCAACUCACCUUGAGGUGUACUCUUGUUCUUCCAGGACACGGGGAGCUGUUAGGGACUGAAUUGUGUUCCUUCCCCCCAAAGUUCCGAUGUUGAAUUCCUAACCCCCCAGAACCUCAAAAUGUGACUGCGUUUGUAGACGGGGUCUUUUAAGAGGUAAUUAAGUUCAGAUGAGAUUAUUAGAGUGUAGCCGAAUUUAGUAUGAUCAGUGUCCUUUAAGAGGCAAUGAAAAAUAAAUAAAUAAAUAAGAAAGGGAGUUCCUGUCAUGGCUCAGUGGAGGCAGAUCUGACUGGUGUCCAUGGGCAUGCGGGUUCGAUCCCUGGCCUCAAUCAGUGGGUCGAGGAUCCAGCGUUGUCGUGAGCUGUGGUGUAGGUUGGAGACGGAGCUUGGAUCCCUUGUUACUGUGGCUGUGGUGUAGGCUGUUGGCUGCAGUCCCAAUUAGAUUUGACCCCUAGCCUGGAAACUUCCAUGUGCCAUAGAUGUGGCCCUAAAAAGCAAAAAAAGAAAAAAAGUCAGUAAUAAAAAAGGAAGAGGCGAUGAGGACACCGACAUGCAUGUGGAGCAGACUGUUGGAAGACGCAGGGUAAAGACAGCCAGCCAGAAGCCAGGGACGGAGACCUCGGAGGAAACAGCUCUCUGGAACCUUGAACUCUGGCUUCCAGACUCUAGAACAAUGAGAAAAUAAAAUUCUGUGGUUUAAGCCACCUAAUCCAGGUUUCUUAGUUAUGGUACCUUGAGCAAACUAACAUAGGAGGCCAUCAGAAUCUACAGGAGGGCUCUGGUCAGCAACGCCAUCAUGAGGGUAAACCACCAAUACACUUAGAACCGUUCAGUGCCCAGACAGCCAUUCUUUAGUCCUUUAGCCCUUUCACUACAGUCUUCAGUAUAUUACUUGAGAUAUUCAACACUUAACUAUAAAAUAGCCUUAGUAUUGGAUAAUUUUGCUCAAUUGUAGGCUAACGUAAGUACUCUGAGCAUGUUUCAGGUAGUUGAGGCUAAGCUGUGAUGUUCUGUAGGUUAGUUGUAUUAAAUGCAUUUUUUUAUGAACACCCCCAUGGCAUGUAGAAGUUCCCGGGCCAGGGAUUGAAUCUGAGCCACAGCUUCGGCCUAUGCCACAGCUGCAGCAAUGCUGGAUCCUUUAACCCCCUGCACUGGGCCAGGGAUGGAACCCGAACCUUUGCAUCCACUCGAGCUGCUGCAGUCAGAUACUUAACUGACUGCACCACAGCGGGAGCUCCUUAAAUGCAUUUUUGACUUCCAGUGUUUUCAGUUGACAGGGGUUUAUUGGGAUGGAAGCCUGUCAAAAGAUGAGGCCAGUCUGUGCUAACAUGAGUAACAUUUGUUGAGGACUCAUGGUAGGCUGCACACAGGAUGAAGGGUCUUGCCUGCAUUCUCUGUUCCUGUCUUCACCACCAUCCUGUGAGGUCGGAGCUCUUAUUAUCUCCAUCUUACAAAUGAAGAGACGGAGGCAGAGAGGUUAAGUGACAUCUGUGGGAUUCCGAGCCAGGUCAUCCUGCUCCAGACCUGUCCACAUUUUUGCUUUGCCAGCCCUGGGAGACUGGGGGCUGAGGAGGGGUGGUUGGCCGAUCCGUUGUGACUGUUGGUUAAAGGAUGUUGUGAUUUGAUGUCUUAGACCCAGUUUUGGUUCCCCCUUCAGAGAGGCUGUAAAGUAUGUUGAGUUAGGUGAAGAUGUCACGAGUCAUCAUCAUCACAGAUAUUGUAGAGUGCUUAGUGUGAGCCUUGAUCUGAGCUUUGAACCUGCCUGUGUUGCCCUCAUAGCAACCCAAAGUGCUUUUGCCAGUCUCCCAGUGGCUCACCCCCAGUCAAUGGGGGUGAUGGACUCUUUUUCCUAAUAGCCACUCCCCCAAGCCCCCACCACUGGUCAGCACUUUCUUUCUGACAAGUCCCCCAUUUGCCCAGCAUCUGCCUCUGUCACAGGGACAGGAAAAAGGGUUAGCUGACAUUUGAAUUUUAAAAUAGGAGAAACUUUGUUCUUUUCCCCCUUAUUACAAAAGCAUUUUAUGAGAAAUGUUAAAAAAUGCUAAAACCAG